UACGUAGGGGGCAAGCGUUAUCCGGAAUUACUGGGUGUAAAGGGAGCGUAGACGGUAAUGUAAGUCUGGAGUGAAAGGCGGGGGCCCAACCCCCGGACUGCUCUGGAAACUAUGUUACUAGAGUGCAGGAGAGGUAAGCGGAAUUCCUAGUGUAGCGGUGAAAUGCGUAGAUAUUAGGAGGAACACUAGUGGCGAAGGCGGCUUACUGGACUGUAACUGACGUUGAGGCUCGAAAGCGUGGGGAGCAAACAGG
rnacentral:rRNA from 1 species